rnacentral:rRNA from 1 species
AUGAACGCUGGCGGCGUGCUUAACACAUGCAAGUCGAACGGAAAGGCCCAAGCUUGCUUGGGUACUCGAGUGGCGAACGGGUGAGUAACACGUGGGUGAUCUGCCCUGCACUUCGGGAUAAGCCUGGGAAACUGGGUCUAAUACCGGAUAGGACCACAUUUUGGAUGGUGGGGUGGAAGGUUUUUCGGUGUGGGAUGAGCUCGCGGCCUAUCAGCUUGUUGGUGGGGUAAUGGCCUACCAAGGCGUCGACGGGUAGCCGGCCUGAGAGGGUGUACGGCCACAUUGGGACUGAGAUACGGCCCAGACUCCUACGGGAGGCAGCAGUGGGGAAUAUUGCACAAUGGGCGCAAGCCUGAUGCAGCGACGCCGCGUGGGGGAUGACGGCCUUCGGGUUGUAAACUCCUUUCGCUAGGGACGAAGCGUUAUGUGACGGUACCUGGAGAAGAAGCACCGGCUAACUACGUG